UACGUAGGGUGCAAGCGUUAAUCGGAAUUACUGGGCGUAAAGCGUGCGCAGGCGGUUUUAUAAGUCUGUCGUGAAAGCCCCGGGCUCAACCUGGGAACGGCGCUUGAUACUGCGUUGCUUGAGGACGGGAGAGGAUGGUGGAAUUCCCAGUGUAGAGGUGAAAUUCGUAGAUAUUGGGAAGAACACCGGUGGCGAAGGCGGCUUACUGGUCCGGUACUGACGCUGAGGUGCGAAAGCGUGGGGAGCAAACAGG
rnacentral:rRNA from 1 species